rnacentral:rRNA from 1 species
AUUGAACGCUGGCGGCAGGCCUAACACAUGCAAGUCGAACGGAGUGGCGGACGGGUGAGUAAUGUCUAGGCAUCUGCCUGGUAGAGGGGGAUAACGUCUGGAAACGGGCGCUAAUACCGCAUACUAUCAGAUGAGCCUAGGUCGGAUUAGCUAGUUGGUGGGGUAAAGGCUUACCAAGGCGACGAUCCGUAACUGGUCUGAGAGGAUGAUCAGUCACACUGGAACUGAGACACGGUCCAGACUCCUACGGGAGGCAGCAGUGGGGAAUAUUGGACAAUGGGCGAAAGCCUGAUCCAGCCAUGCCGCGUGUGUGAAGAAGGUCUUCGGAUUGUAAAGCACUUUAAGUUGGGAGGCGUUACCAACAGAAUAAGCACCGGCUAACUACGUGCCAGCAGCCGCGGUAAUAC